rnacentral:rRNA from 1 species
CUACGGGUUGCUGCAGUGAGGAAUAUUGCACAAUGGGGGGAACCCUGAUGCAGCAACGCCGCGUGGAGGAUGACGCAUUUCGGUGUGUAAACUCCUUUUAUAUGUCAAGAAAAUGACGGUAGCAUAUGAAUAAGCACCGGCUAACUCCGUGCCAGCAGCCGCGGUAAUACGGAGGGUGCAAGCGUCACGCGGAAUCACUGGGCGUAAGGACGCGUAGGCGGGUUGGAAAGUCAGGUGUGAAAUCCUACAGCUUAACUGUAGAACUGCACUUGAAACUUCUAAUCUAGAGUAUGGGAGGGGGAGAUGGAAUUAGUGGUGUAGGGGUAAAAUCCGUAGAUAUCACUAGGAAUACCUAAAGCGAAGGCGAUCUCCUGGAACAUUACUGACGCUAAGGCGUGAAAGCGUGGGGAGCAAACAGGAUUAGAUACCCUUGUAGUC